rnacentral:lncRNA from 1 species
GCCACGGAGGGUUCAAGUCCUGAGAUCAAGUCUUUUGUUUCCCUAGUGUCAAUCCCAGUUGCUGCUCACUGUAGGCCCUGGUUCUCCUGCUGCACCCGCCAAUGCCAGCGUUUCUCUGAGCACUCGCUGUGUCCUCACCUUGGAACUCUUUGUGGCAGGAAGAAAUAGCUGCAGCUGGAGUGAGUCCUAUGGAGAACAUGGUUGGUAUUCAGUGUUUGUCCAGCCGGGGCCUCUGGGACAGAAUGAGAGUGGAUUGCAUUGUACCUUCCAAAAGGACCGAGACCCUCAGAAUGGCUAUAUCCCUCUCGUGGUGGCUGUGACUCUCUUUGUGGCUGUGAUCCUGCUUUAUUUUCUGGGACUAUAUGUGUCAAAGUAAGUUGAAUUGGUUUCUCUUUCCCUUUCCUCUUAGAGAUGUGCAGUGA